CUUGCUAUUUGCUGGUUUUGCUAUUUAGUAUACUUAUCUGAUAUUGCUCUUGUUGGUUUUGCCGUCUGUAUGUGCUGAAGUUUGCACAGAUUUCGGCAACAACUUUGGUGAGAUUUGGACACCUUUUGUGUUCAUGUUUGGCUAUCAGAUUAAAUGAUUAAUACGAGCAGAGGAAUAGUUAGCAUGUUCUAAUUUUCAGCCAGGGUUUCCUACCAUCAAGUUUCUUAGCUUUUACGUGAUUUAAUAGACAAGGCAGACUGUAGUAUACCCUUUUUCUUGGUCCACCACAACCAGCCUGUGAACAAGAAAAAUUAAAAGUUGCUAUUUCCCUGUUUCUGAGCUUUCUGUUUUAGUUGGUUUUGUUAUUCUUGGGUUACAUGAAUGAAUAUUCACAGAUUUCUCAUUUGGAACUCAUCAUGUACGCAUUGAUAAGUAAAAUUAGCAAUUAUGAAGCUAAAUUACCAGAGUUUCUCAGUUAUUUGUUUGAAACAACCAGUCUUUUUCUUCUUAUCUUUUCGGACCCAAAUUGACUUGAAUGAUGCAACAUCUUAUUUUUCCUUCAUGUGCCUUCGUAUGGCUUCCUUCUUUAUGGUCCACGAUCCUAUGCAUGAUAUCAGUUUCUUGAUCGCUGUAUGCCCAAGCAGUCAUUUGUAAAUUUGUCAACUAAGGUCAUACUGAACCAGAUCGUGCUUGGUCCUUGUGUUAUUGCUGUAGUUUUUGCUUGGAACAACUUAUGGUUAGGGAAAUUAUCAGAGCUGCCAUCUAAAUAUCAGAAUGAUGCGCUUCCUACACUUCUAUAUGGUAAUCCUUCGGCCUGAAUGCAGUUUGAACUACGGGAACAGAAAUAACUGAUAUUAUAGUACGUUUCACUUUGUCAUGGAUAAUGCAGGGUUUAAGUUUUGGAUUCCUGUAUUAAUUGUCAACUUUGGGUAUGGACAUUUGGCUUCUCAUUUUUAAUGUUCAUCUCAGAUAUUUCUAGUCCCAAUCAGGCUAUGGUUAGAUAAACUGGAUAACUAUUUGAUUGCUACUUGCUCCAUUGGAGCAAUGCAGCUGGUUCUUAUGCUAGUUUUGGUUGUGUGCCAGGAUGAUUCCUUUGCCAGCUCGUGUUGCCUUUAUGACCUCUUGUGCCAUUUUUUGUAACUUUUAUUUAUCGACUGCUAUGAACAAGUGAAUCUUAUUACUGUUCAUCAGAGAAGAAUGUGAAGGAGAUAGUUUUGACAGGCAUGGAAGGUUUCUUCCUCUUGAACAGUUCCGGUGGAUCAGCAUAAGGUCGCUGUAAAACUUAUUCAAGAUGUUGACGAGCAUAACAUCAAUGGAGGAUGUGAAGUUUUGUCUGAUCAUGUAUGAAGCACCUGGCUCCAUUCUGACUUCAAAACUCAAAAGCCGUUCAAUUUGUUAUUUAGGAUAUGUGCUGCAUUAGCUUACUUCAAUGACAAUGGCAUAUUUAUAUUCAUAUCUGAAUAGAGAUGCAGGUGUAUUAGUUAUGCUAUGAGAAAUUGUGAAUUCAAUGCUGGAUGUUGUAUCUU